rnacentral:lncRNA from 1 species
ACUUUUAACCAGAAGAAUACAGGAGACAUGACACAGCAUAACUUUCAAGAUCAGAUUAGAAAAAGCUACGAAGCUUACACCUGGUGUUCUUGGGAUUUUACCUCUGGGAGAAACAAAAACCCUGUAAAGAAAUCUGAUUAUCCUGAGGCUGCUAUGCUGGAGAGGCUGCUAUGCUGGAGAGGCUGCGUGUAGGUGCUCUGGCUGACAGCCCAGCUAAGCUUUCAGCUGAAACCAACUGCCUGUCAUGUGAGUGAUCCAUCUCGGAUGACAAGCCUAGUCAUGCCAUUGGAGGACUACAGCCCCAACAGAGAUCUGAAUGCAGUCCACGACAGACUCCAAGUAAUGAAAACAAUCAUCUUCCUUGUUUUCCUUCGUUUGGAUUAUUUCCUUAGAAUAACUUUCCAAAGAAGAACAAUCAAGUGACAGAGGAUGAAUAUUUUCAUAAUUUCUAAUUCAUACUGCCAAAUUACUUUCCUAAAAGAUAGUACCAAUUUGCCACCAGCAACUUAUGAUAUAGAAGUUUUAUUGUAACUUCACCAGAUUGGGUGUUGUCAUCUUAAAGCAUAUUUAAAAGCAUCAUAAAUUCAAAAGCUGUUCUGGUGGACCUGGUGUGAAAUUUCAGUACUCUGAUCUUAGGAGGGAAUUUACACUCGUUGUAGCCAUAGAAUCCUCUCCUGCUCAGUCUAACUCAGCCCUUUACUAUCUAGUUAGUGCUUUUUUUUUUUUUUUCUCAAUAAAAUUCUUCUACUGUGUUCUCAGCCUCCUUCUGGAAAGUUGGCCCAGGAGAACAUUUGUAGCCUGAGCUAGAUCUACUCCUCUGCAUUGCUUACAUGUAUGUCAAAAAUAGCCCUGAACUAUGCUGACAUUCUGGUCUAUGUCCAGCUUGAUACCAAGUUAUCAUUGAUUGAGAGUUAAGCAUGAGUCAUGCAUAUAUUCAUUUCAUUCAUUCUCUCAACCAACUUGCAAGAUAGACUUUAUCCCCCCUUUUAAGAUGAAGAUACUAGACAUCAAAGACAUUCAAUAACUUGCCAAGGUCACACAAUUUGUAACCGAUGGAGACAGGAUUUGAACCCAUGCUUUUGGCCACUACAUUUCACUGCCUCACCUAGUCUGCUGAUCUAUUGGGUGUUUCCUUCCCACUUUCCCAGACUUCCUGGGAGGAACCUAGAAGGCAGUGGAAAAUCACCCUUGGCUCCCUUAAAAUACUGUCUAUUCCCUCUAAACACUGUCUUGAUCCAUAUUUUUGAACCACCCCAAUUUAAAAGUCAAUAUUCAUGUCAUGCCUCUGUCUAUAUCCCCAUAUGGCAAGAACAUUAUAAUGUGUCUUGAUGUAUAUUUUGUUAGAAAUUAUUUGGAGGAAGUAUAAAUGAAUAUGCCUGUAUAAAUAUAUGAACAUCUUUUCUGAAAAAUUUAUUUAUGAGUCUAAGAAAUGUUCAGACUUCUUAAAUAAAAUGGAAGAAAAAAGUAUUUUGAGUUAUUCUACUUUUCUCUAGUCCUUUAUCUUUCUCCUUCUUCAGGAUAAGCUGUGAUAUGAAAAAUUGAAGCCAAAAAAAGAAUCCUCUGAGAGAUUGAAGAGUGCGCUAUAAACAUGAUUUUGCUUCUCAGGAAUGGGAAUUCCAUGAAAGCAAGGACUUUGUUUCAUUCCCUGCAGUGUCCCAGCAUUUUAACAGCACCUGGCACACAGUAGGUGCUCUGCUCAUAUCUGCGGAGUCAAUGAGUGUGCUACCUGGGUCCCUGCCCAACAAUGUCUAGUCUCUACAGUUGCAGUAAUCUGUCAUGCAACUUCAAGCCGUGCAUCUGCCACUGAACCAACCCUAGGCCCUUGAUGCUCAAAGCCUGGUCCCUGGGCCAGUAUCUGGAAGCUUGCUCAGCAAUGCAGAAUCUCAGGCCCCACCCCAGACUCACUGAAUCAGAAUCUGCAUUUUAACAAGAUCUCCAGCUGAUUUGUGCCUACAUUAAAGUUUGCAAAUUGACUGUCUAAGCCAAUCUCAAGAUGUGGUCUCUGGCCUAGCAGCAUCAAUAUCACCUGGGAACCUGUUAGAACACCUAUGAAAUCAGAGACUCUGGGACCAGGGCCCAGCUCUAUGUACUUGUAAGCUUUAGGAGAUUCUGAUGCAUGCUGCUGUUUGCAAACCACAUUCCCAAGCUCAGCUUCACCAACUUUGCUCCUAAUUCCACCUGGACCUUAAAUCUCAGUUGCAGUAACUGGGCUAUUUUCUUACAUCCUAUAACCAAAACUUUGCUUAAACUCUUUUAAUUAUGGGGAAUAACUUCCUCCUAAUAAGCUUUGCAUUUCAAAUCUGGAUAGUUUUGAAAGUUCUUCUUUGCCAUUUGUAUGGAGUUUGAUAUACUCCAUUCCAUUCCAAACAAAAUGAAUAAUCUCAUCCCUCUGACCCAACCCUUAGAGUCUAGAUAGAAAAUUCCAAAAAUGAGUUUCAGAAAAUAUGAAUAGAUGAUGUGGAGACUAUUCAUAGCCAUGGGUACAGCUAUUCCCUGCAUGAAGGUGCUCAGCAGACGGCCAUGUACGAAAGCUGAAAUCCAGCCUAUACUUUAUUCCCUAAGCAAUUCACCUACAGGGCUACAUCCGCCCAGUGUGUGCCUUUUUCUAAUUGACCCAAAGUUAUUGGACAAGCUAGCUGUGGUCCUGAGUCUUAUGCCUGUGGCUUGGGGACCAUGAUUUAAAUGGCUGUAUACAGUAUAGUACCACUGUCCAAGAGUGAUGUAGUGCACACCAUUCUAACAGCAUUUUCUAUGCUAUGCCCAUCCACCUUGAUUACAGUGAUCGAUUAUUCUCCUCUACUCCUUCUAACAGUCAUAGACUGUUUGCUCUUCUUCUAAUUCCCACUCUUUCCUCCAGGUUCACUGUUAGUCUCUCACUUGUCAACUAUUUGAUCUCUCUUCUAAGGCUUUAUUCGUGUAUCUUGCUUCAUUUGUCAGAGCUCCUACACAUGGUUCUGCAAAUUUUUACAAAACUCCUAAAAUAAAUAAAUGCUAAAA